UAUUAUGUGUCCAGCACACUCAUAAACAUUACUGUACUAGCAGUGUUGCUACAGAAUUUACCUACAUUGUACGUCAGAAGUGCAGAAAGUGCACCUCCCUCAUUUUGUCUUCAGCUGUCUAUACUACUGCUGGCUAUUAGGGGAAAAUGGGAAAAAGAUAUGAAAUAAACCUGAGUGUUAUAUAUUAUUUUAAACAGUCUCAGUUAGUAUGUUCAGCUAAAAUUGAGUGGAGAUGUUUGAACUGUCAUAGAACCUUACUCUCAACUGCUUUUCUAAGAUCAUGGCCAACCUGUGGAGAAGAGAGAGAGAUGAGGGUAAUAAAAUCUCAAGGCCUUGGUGGAGUAGGGAGGGACUGAAGGAACUCUGGCCUCAUUUCAGGCCUUGACACUAUGCUGGAUGCCAUCUGCUGCUCUCAGACAUGGUCUUUUUCCACCUGGGCACUAGCAACCUGUGUUGCAGCAUGGAGCUGGUGAACCUGUGUCUGUUCCUUUGACAUGGCAGUGUUCCCCUGGCAGCAUGGGCCAUUUGCUCCUGGUGACUCAGAUUUUUCUCAGCUUUCAUUGUGUCCAGAACUUGAGUCAAGGCCCUGUCUUCUAUUCAGCCCCUGGCCUAAAAGUCCAUCUCCAGCCCAUGCCAUGCAGUCCUUCUAUCUGCCACAGCAGACCCUGACUAUUUACUGGUUCUUCUCUCUGUCUUAGGCCAGCCCACACCCCCCACCAUCCCCAACAGGGCUGCAUUGUUGCCUUGUAGUAAAUGAGACCUGUUGCAUAGUGCUCGCCUAGAUUCCCAAAUAAGGGAUGUGGUUCAAGGGUCCCUAUGGUGAUCUUUCUUCUUGGUUUAUUUAACACUCCAUCCUUCCCAGUGCUUCUCCUCAGAAAGUGGAAAUCCACAAAUAUCUGAAAACUGCUCUCUUCUUCUCCCUAAAGGCUCUUUUUCUUGCCACUUAUCUAAAACUAAACUCCCAUGAUUAACUUGCCGCAUAGGUUGAGGGAAAGAGUGGACAGAAGAAGUGAUCUUUAUGGUUUUGCUUUUGUAACAUAUAUAUUCUAAAUGGUAAUGAAAAGAAAUUUGGAAUGUCUUUUCUCUCACAGUUAAUCCUGUGACUCAUUUUACUGUGAGGUUCCAAAAUCCAGGGGUUUUUUUUUUUUUUUUUUUUAGAACAGUUCUGAAUGUUACUUUAGCCAUUUUGUUUUCAUUCUUUUGUAUCAAAUUCUAAUCUCUCUACUAGCAAGUGAAUGUCCUGAGUAGAGUAGAUAAUGCUGUAAAAUUUGGUUGUGAUGAUUGUUAUACACCUAUAAAUGUAAUUAAAUUCAUUAAGUAAUUAAAAAAUAAAAUAAAAUAAAAACAAAUUAAAAAAACAAAAUUAAAAAAGUAACUCCCACUGAACAUCAAAAUGAAGAGGAUAUUAAUUAGUUCUGUUUCUCACCCUUAAUCAAUGAUAGGGUUGAGAAAUAUCAGGAUUAAAUAAUAUAAUGAUGUAUAAUAAACCUUUUAAUUCCCUGGAUAAAUACAAUUAAUUUUGUAUUGUUGAUGUUGACUAAAUUAAGAAGUAUAUAAUGGUUCUAUUUCCACCAUGGCAACACAGGGAAAUCUGUGGAUCUGCUUCCUGGUAAGAUUAGUAAAAAUAAUUGAAAAAAAACAUAUUUAAAGACUUUAAAAAUGGUACCAAAGGCAUAUAGCAAAUGAAAGAACAUUUAUUUAAGAAAGCUUCCUGGGAGUUCCUGGUGGCUUAGCAGGUUAAGGAUCUGGCAUUGUCACUGCCAUGACUCUGCUUACUGCUAUUAUGCGGGUUCAGUCCCUGGCUUGGGAACUUCCAUGUGCUGUGAAUAUGGCCCCCCCAAAUUUUUUUAAUGAAAAUUAAAAAAAAACACCCAGUAAUUGGUAAGGACAGAAAAAGUCUGCAGUGUUUGAGUCACAGCCCACUCCCCUCCUCCCUCUGCCCAGUUCAGCUUGAAGCAAACUCUACUUCAAAUGGGUGCAGAAAAGAACACAGAGCUACCUCUCCUCUCAGCUCCCAGAUGAAGAGAUGCUCUAUCUUCUUGGGAGGGGCAGCCACUUUAGCAUCUUCAUUUCUGUGUCCAGAUAUCCAUUAUAGAGCCUAAGUUUCAAGCAAAUGGCAUCUGAGAGUGAGUACUCUCUUCCUUAGCCCAGUUCUGACUUGAGAGGGGCUUUAGCUUGGGGAUAGUAUGCUAAAAAUUCUGUGGCUCUAAUCACCCUCACUCCAGUUCACAUGUAAAGCAGAGGUUCCAUUUAGGGAGAGAUAAGCCAAAUAGACCAGAGGCAAGGUUAGGACUCCAUUCUGCCAGAGACCUAGAUCCAAAAACACAGAUGUCACUCGGAGUUAUGCCACCAUCCUCUCUCCCAGCUCCGGAGCCUUGGCCCAGAGGUUUUGCCUAGGGAAAGAAGCAGGCUGUAAAAUAGCUCCGAAUUUCUUCCCAAAGGAGUUGACUUCAUUUGCAUCAGAUUGUGGGGAUAUUCAAGCUUAAGGGAAUCCUUAAAACAAUGGAAGUCGUGCUGUAAAUCAACUCAGAGGAAACUUCUAGAUGCAUUUGAGAUACAAGCUAAAUCAUAGAAUAGCUAGUUUACUAGACAGAACCAGGGAAACAGACUUACUAAAAAGAGCCUUCCUUGGAUCUGACAAAACUCAAAAACUGAACUGAAAAAGUAUCCCUGUAGAAGAGCCUGAGUUUAAUUGGAUUAAUCUCUGGAGAAAUUUGUGUCCCAAGGCAUUGUUGACAAUUGUAGUGCCAUCAGCCAGCAAUUAAAGCAACCUUACAGCUGGGUCAAAGACAGGGAGCUUUAAAGGGACUGCACAAGACUGUCAUCCCAGGAUGACUAUACAGAUGCCCAAGGUUGCACCAUCUGAGGAGCAAUGUCAGAGGUUUCACACUGUGAGGUGAGAGGGAAGAACAGACUUCACCAAAAUAAUCCAACAGCAAACAACCUAGGGGAGACAAAGGAGAUCAACCAGUACCCAAAAUCACUACAAUAUAUUAUCUAAAAUAGCCAGUUUCCAACAAGAACAGGAAAAAGCUGAGACAUACAAAGAAACUGGAAAGUCCAAUGGAAAAAGCAGGUAAAAGAAACUGCUUAUAAAACAGAUACAAAUUUCAAAGUAGUACUGUAUAUGUAUGUGUGGAAAGGGGUGGGGAUGGGGAGAGAGCACGUGUUAGUGAGCAAGAGAGGCUUUUUUUCCAAAGUGCUAAAGGAAACCAUGCUUAAAGUAAAUGAAAAUAUGAUUACAGUAUUUCAUUAAAUUGAGAAUAUCAAUAAAGAGGUAGAAAAAAAAAAUUUUAAAGUAGAACCAAAUGUAGAUGGUGGAUUUGGAAAGUACAAAA
rnacentral:lncRNA from 1 species